GCCUUUGUGGUGUAGCGGUCAGCACGCUCGACGCGUAACCGAGAGGUCCGUGGUUCAAUUCCCGGCGAAGGCG
rnacentral:tRNA from 1 species